UCUGGUGUCAGCCGCCGCGGUAAUACCAGCUCUCCGAGUGGUGGGGAUGCUUAUUGGGCCUAAAGCAUUCGUAGCCGGUUGGGCAAGUCCUCCGUUAAAUCCAACGAUUCAAUCGUUGGACUGCGGGGGAUACUGUCCGGCUAGGGGGCGGGAGAGGCCGACGGUAUUCUCGGGGUAGGGGUGAAAUCCUAUAAUCCCGGGAGGACCACCAGUGGCGAAGGCUGUCGGCUAGAACGCGCCCGACGGUGAGGGAUGAAAGCUGGGGGAGCGAACCGGAUUAGAUACCCGGGUAGUCCCAGCUGUAAACGAUGCAGGCUAGGUGUUGGCGCGGCUACGUGCCGCUCCAGUGCCGCAAGGAAGCCGUUAA
rnacentral:rRNA from 1 species